UGAAAGCAUCUAAGCACGAAACUUGCCCCGAGAUGAGUUCUCCCUGACCCUUUAAGGGUCCUGAAGGAACGUUGAAGACGACGACGUUGAUAGGCCGGGUGUGUAAGCGCAGCGAUGCGUUGAGCUAACCGGUACUAAUGAACCGUGAGGCUUAACCUUACAACGCCGAAG
rnacentral:rRNA from 1 species